AGAUAUCUUUAAUUAGCAAUAUGUUUAAAUAGUUACAAGCCUUUCCUUCUUGUGACAGUUUGAGUUGAAUUUCUAUCGUUUGCAGCCUGUCACUGUAAGGCACAAACAUGAUCACGCAAGAUGCGAUAGUAGAUUUAAGCCAGUUGUUUUUAAGUUCGUGUUUAAGGAGAAACUAACGAUGAAAACGGACUCGUUGACGGAGGAAAAGUUGGAAUGCAGCCUCUGGUGCUGUUUGAGCGAUCCCUCUCCCCGGGGCCUGGCCGCGCGCUGCUGUGUUCUGGAAGGGCUCAUUGUACAGUCAAGGUGGAGUCUUGAGGAUCCAUUUUCUGAGAUGGUGAUGGGAAAGAUGUUGGUUGUCAAGUGGAAUCUCAGCAGUCAUUUUCAGACAAAGUUAGAGAAAACAAGUAUGGAAGAUGCCUGAUUCUCAAAGAGUCAUCCAGUCUUGGGAUUACCGCCUACGUC
rnacentral:lncRNA from 1 species